rnacentral:lncRNA from 1 species
UAUCCAUCGAAGAAUUUUGGUUUCAGAAAGAAUCUGGCAAAGGGUCAGCCGGUGGUGGACCUCGGAUGGUGUUGGUGAGGUUCGGCAGACACCGGAGGCGAUCGGCUGUUGUAGAAAUUCAGCUGCUGGAGCCCGUCUGUUGUAGAAGCUCAUCCGAUAUCCAUCCGCUAUGGAAGUUCAGACGGAGUCUGGUUCUUGUAGAAGGCUGAAGGAGAUCGCUUAUUGUAGAAGCUCGAUCGAAGAUCGAUUG